UACACUCCUACGGGAGGCAGCAAUGGGGAAUAUUGCACAAUGGGCGCAAGCCUGAUGCAGCCAUGCCGCGUGUAUGAAGAAGGCCUUCGGGUUGUAAAGUACUUUCAGCGGGGAGGAAGGCGAUAAGGUUAAUAACCUUGUCGAUUGACGUUACCCGCAGAAGAAGCACCGGCUAACUCCGUGCCAGCAGCCGCGGUAAUACGGAGGGUGCAAGCGUUAAUCGGAAUUACUGGGCGUAAAGCGCACGCAGGCGGUCUGUCAAGUCGGAUGUGAAAUCCCCAGGCUCAACCUGGGAACUGCAUUCGAAACUGGCAGGCUAGAGUCUUGUAGAGGGGGGUAGAAUUCCAGGUGUAGCGGUGAAAUGCGUAGAGAUCUGGAGGAAUACCGGUGGCGAAGGCGGCCCCCUGGACAAAGACUGACGCUCAGGUGCGAAAGCGUGGGGAGCAAACAGGAUUAGAAACCCCGGUAGUCCCAUG
rnacentral:rRNA from 1 species